AAUGUAAUACACAUUUUUCUCCCUAAAACAGGAUAAAAAUGCUAGAAUACCUUCAGCAGUUCACUUCCUCAAACCACCACCACCUGAAUGGAAAAUAGAGAGAACUGAUCUGAAAGCUGGCCACCACCUAUGCUGUCAGAUAACUGAAAGUGUCCAUCAAUAAGUGAAGAGGAGAAACACUUGCAUGUGUGAUUUCAUGAG
rnacentral:lncRNA from 1 species